AUUCAUCCAGUACUCAGGAACAAAAGUUUUGUGCACCGAGCAAAUUUUCUUUGAGAACUUCGUUCUUCAUUUCUUUUCUCUCUCUUGGCUGCUCUAACUAAACUAGAUGAAGCAAAUUACGAAGAACAGAAGGAUACCUAAAACAACCAGUAUGAAAGGAGUUAGGAGAAAGGAUUUACACCGCAGGUAGGGUCUGUGCAUGGCACCGGUGAAACCCCGACAUGGUCAGGAAUCCGUUAAUCCCGAUCUCCCCAUCCUAAUUGCUUGCUCGUUAUUCCCCUCAUCAGAUUUUCUGCAACCAGCAUACCUGGUACCUCGCGCUGACAUCCAGGCAUUGCACGUUUGCGAGCAUGGCAGUCGAAAUUGAUGUGGCUCAUUUGACAUCCUCGUCAUUGGGGUUGGGGUUGAGGUUGGGCGUGUCGUCGUCCUUGUGAACCAUCUCCCAGAAGAAAUCGGUGAGCACAGUCUCGUAUCCGGGCAUCUUGGCAUAGCCGGGGAAGUAGUUGAUGUCAAUGACGAGGUAGCGAUCCCCAGCGCGGGCGUCCCGGAUCAUGUCGAAGUUGAAGAGGUGGAGGCCGAGGGCGCGGCGGAGGGCGGCGGCGAUGUCGUUGAUGAAGGCGGUGGGUGGCAUGAUGGCGUCCUCGAGGCGCAUGUCGUCGUAGUACUCCUGGGCGGUGCGCUCGUUGGGGAGGUUGGAGACCUGGGAGAAGGAGAGGGAGCCCUCGGCGGAGGCGUCCUGGAGGACGUCGCUGGAGACGUCGGGGAGGCUGCGGCGCUUGACGCAGGUGACGUGGGCGCCGACGACGUAGACCUUGAAGAUGACGCCGCCGUGGUUGACGAACUCCUGGAGGACGAGCGGGGGGCGGAGCUUGCGGAGGCCCUCGCGGUGGUAGACGAGGGACAUCUUGUGGGACUUGGCGGUGCCGUCGGCGACGAGGGGCUUGGCGAUGAGGGGGAAGCGGAGGGCGGCGAGGAGGCCGGAGUCGGAGAGGGCGGCGGCGUCGUAGACGACGACCUGGGAGGGGAUGCCGAAGGUGUGGUGGUGGUGGGCGUGGAGCGGGACGUCGAGCUCGGAGACGACCUGGAGCAUGGAGAUGCGGUUGUGGAGGCGGUCGAUGGCGUGGGGCGGGUCGACGACGGGGACGGCUGGGUGCGCGGCGGAGAAGGCGUCCAGCUGACCGCGCCACUCCUCGCCGUAGAGCUUGUGGAUGAGGAGGUGGAAGGGCCCCUGCUCGGGGAGGGGCCGCGAGGGGUCGACGGGGACGAGGUCCAUGCCGCGCCCCGCCGCGCGCGACACCAGCGACGGCUGGAUGAAGCUCUGCUGCUUCUUCGGCGCCAGGGCGUAGCCGAUGAGGUAGCGCCGCCGCUGCCCGUCGCCGGGGAGGGGCUCGUCGCCGGCCAUCGAUUCGGUUGAGUUGGGUUGGG
rnacentral:sRNA from 1 species